CUAGUUGGUGGGGUAACGGCCCACCAAGGCGACGACGGGUAGCCGGCCUGAGAGGGCGACCGGCCACACUGGGACUGAGACACGGCCCAGACUCCUGCGGGAGGCAGCAGUGGGGAAUAUUGCGCAAUGGGCGAAAGCCUGACGCAGCGACGCCGCGUGGGGGAUGAAGGCCUUCGGGUUGUAAACCCCUUUCAGCGGGGAAGAUAAUGACGGUACCCGCAGAAGAAGUCCCGGCUAACUCCGUGCCAGCAGCCGCGGUAACACGUAGGGCGCAAGCGUUGUCCGGAAUUAUUGGGCGUAAAGAGCUCGUAGGCGGUCUGUUGCGUCUGCUGUGAAAACCCGGGGCUUAACCCCUGGCUUGCAGUGGAUACGGACAGACUAGAGGUAGGUAGGGGAGAAUGGAAUUCCCGGUGUAGCGGUGAAAUGCGCAGAUAUCGGGAGGAACACCGGUGGCGAAGGCGGUUCUCUGGGCCUUACCUGACGCUGAGGAGCGAAAGCGUGGGGAGCGAACAGGAUUAGAUACCCUGGUAGUCCACGCUGUAAACGUUGGGCGCUAGGUGUGGGGUCCUUCCACGGAUUCCGUGCCGCAGCUAACGCAUUAAGCGCCCCGCCUGGGGAGUACGGCCGCAAGGCUAAAACUCAAAGGAAUUGACG
rnacentral:rRNA from 1 species